rnacentral:lncRNA from 1 species
CUCUGUCUCCUGGCAAUGUCUUGCAGCAGGUGAGAUUCCAAAAGAAGCUGAAGGAAGAAAAUAAGCAGGCGAGUCAGUAGGCACAUGGACCCUUGGACACCAAGCUGUGGAUUGGUUGAUCCACAUCUUCUGGGGGUUACUGGAGGAGGCCUGAUAAUCACAGGAGCAAAUAGGCAACUAUUCCCAGUAGGACACUCAAGCAAACCGCAGUCUGGACAUGCUGCUCACCAGGGAAUUGCUCAGGAGCCUCAGGGGAGGAACCAAAACCAGGUUUCACCUGGACAAGUGACAAGCCUCUUCUGUGGAC